rnacentral:rRNA from 1 species
UGCCUAAUACAUGCAAGUCGAGCGGACAGAUGGGAGCUUGCUCCCUGAUGUUAGCGGCGGACGGGUGAGUAACACGUGGGUAACCUGCCUGUAAGACUGGGAUAACUCCGGGAAACCGGGGCUAAUACCGGAUGCUUGUCUGAACCGCAUGGUUCAGACAUAAAAGGUGGCUUCGGCUACCACUUACAGAUGGACCCGCGGCGCAUUAGCUAGUUGGUGAGGUAACGGCUCACCAAGGCGACGAUGCGUAGCCGACCUGAGAGGGUGAUCGGCCACACUGGGACUGAGACACGGCCCAGACUCCUACGGGAGGCAGCAGUAGGGAAUCUUCCGCAAUGGACGAAAGUCUGACGGAGCAACGCCGCGUGAGUGAUGAAGGUUUUCGGAUCGUAAAGCUCUGUUGUUAGGGAAGAACAAGUGCCGUUCAAAUAGGGCGGCACCUUGACGGUACCUAACCAGAAAGCCACGGCUAACUACGUGCCAGCAGCCGCGGUAAUACGUAGGUGGCAAGCGUUGUCCGGAAUUAUUGGGCGUAAAGGGCUCGCAGGCGGUUUCUUAAGUCUGAUGUGAAAGCCCCCGGCUCAACCGGGGAGGGUCAUUGGAAACUGGGGAACUUGAGUGCAGAAGAGGAGAGUGGAAUUCCACGUGUAGCGGUGAAAUGCGUAGAGAUGUGGAGGAACACCAGUGGCGAAGGCGACUCUCUGGUCUGUAACUGACGCUGAGGAGCGAAAGCGUGGGGAGCGAACAGGAUUAGAUACCCUGGUAGUCCACGCCGUAAACGAUGAGUGCUAAGUGUUAGGGGGUUUCCGCCCCUUAGUGCUGCAGCUAACGCAUUAAGCACUCCGCCUGGGGAGUACGGUCGCAAGACUGAAACUCAAAGGAAUUGACGGGGGCCCGCACAAGCGGUGGAGCAUGUGGUUUAAUUCGAAGCAACGCGAAGAACCUUACCAGGUCUUGACAUCCUCUGACAAUCCUAGAGAUAGGACGUCCCCUUCGGGGGCAGAGUGACAGGUGGUGCAUGGUUGUCGUCAGCUCGUGUCGUGAGAUGUUGGGUUAAGUCCCGCAACGAGCGCAACCCUUGAUCUUAGUUGCCAGCAUUCAGUUGGGCACUCUAAGGUGACUGCCGGUGACAAACCGGAGGAAGGUGGGGAUGACGUCAAAUCAUCAUGCCCCUUAUGACCUGGGCUACACACGUGCUACAAUGGGCAGAACAAAGGGCAGCGAAACCGCGAGGUUAAGCCAAUCCCACAAAUCUGUUCUCAGUUCGGAUCGCAGUCUGCAACUCGACUGCGUGAAGCUGGAAUCGCUAGUAA